AUUGAACGCUGGCGGUAUGCCUUACACAUGCAAGUCGAACGGUAACAGGUCUUCGGAUGCUGACGAGUGGCGAACGGGUGAGUAAUACAUCGGAAUGUGCCUAGUAGUGGGGGAUAACUACUCGAAAGAGUGGCUAAUACCGCAUGAGAUCUACGGAAGAAAGCAGGGGAUCGCACGACCUUGGGCUACUAGAGCGGCCGAUGGCAGAUUAGGUAGUUGGUGGGAGAAAAGCUUACCAAGCAGACGAUCUGUAGAUGGUCUGAGAGGACGAUCAGCCACACUGGGACUGAGACACGGCCCAGACUCCUACGGGAGGCAGCAGUGGGGAAUUUUGGACAAUGGGCGAAAGCCUGAUCCAGCAAUGCCGCGUGCAGGAUGAAGGCCUUCGGGUUGUAAACUGCUUUUGUACGGAACGAAAAGCCCCGGGUUAAUACCCUGGGGUCAUGACGGUACCGUAAGAAUAAGCACCGGCUAACUACGUGCCAGCCGCCGCCGUAA
rnacentral:rRNA from 1 species